UAAUACGUAGGGGGCAAGCGUUGUCCGGAAUCAUUGGGCGUAAAGCGCGUGUAGGCGGCUCAGUAAGUCCGCUCUGAAAGCCCGGGGCUCAACCCCGGGAGGCGGGUGGAUACUGCUGAGCUCGAGUCCGGAAGAGGCGAGUGGAAUUCCUGGUGUAGCGGUGAAAUGCGCAGAUAUCAGGAGGAACACCAAUUGCGAAGGCAGCUCGCUGGGACGGUACUGACGCUGAGACGCGAAAGCGUGGGGAGCAAACAGGAUUAGAUACCCUGGUAGUCCACGCCGUAAACGAUGGGCACUAGGUGUGGGAGGUGUCGACUCCUUCCGUGCCGAAGCUAACGCAUUAAGUGCCCCGCCUGGGGAGUACGGCCGCAAGGCUA
rnacentral:rRNA from 1 species